CCUAAUAUCCAGAGCUAUACCCUGUUGGACCUUUGCUAACAAGCCUAGCAUAUAUAAGUUACUCUUAUAAAUCUAAUUCUCUAAUUUUUUUUUUACAGAAUGUUUUCCUUUGAAUAAUCAAAUCAAUUUUCUAAUGUGAAAAAAAAAAGUGAACAAAACCGGCCCUCCCUCUGAGGAGCCCAGUAACUGAAAAUGGGGAACAUAAAUCAUCACAAGAUGACAUAGAGAUCUACGGAAGCACAGAGAAGGCAUCAUCACAAGGAGUGAUUUAAGAGCCAACUCUUCAAGGAUAUGUGGGUAGGCAAGACCUGGAAGGGCACUGCAGGAAGAGGGGCAAAACAAGGACAUUAAGAUGUGCAAGUGGGAGCUCAGGAAAUGAAUCUGAAAACUUCUGGAUGACAGCAGACCUAAAAAGGAGAUACUGGAAGAAUGAACAAGGAAUUGGAAUAUCCACGGAAGCCUCUGAGGAGGGAACAUGAGGACUGGAGAACAUGAGCUCUCUGCAGUUCAAUUCCUAGGAGAUAGGAGCCGGUGAUGGGGCUGGAGUCACAUUCCGGAAGCUGCCCAAGAGACCAGGCCCUAAGACAAACCCCAGGUCUUCAGCUGGGCUGGCCCACAGCCCUGUUUCCCUGGCUGACCCGUGGACCUGGAGGGUUCAGUGGGCACGCGCCUGCUGCUGGCUGCCCCUGCUGCUGGCACUCCUGCUGGGCUGUCAAGCAGGUAUAGGGCCUCCACUCAGAGUUUUCCAGUCAAAGGGCUGGCUCUCAUGGCUACAGCAACCAGAGGGGCAAAGGAGCCUAAGAAUUUAGCAAAGGUGGAAGUGCCUCCAGCCUUAAAUUCUCCAGACCUCACCAUUCCCUUUCAAAAGCCUUUUUGGUGUUUUGCUUUCUGCUGCUAACGUAACCUAAAAAGAUAAAAAGAGUAAAAGGGAUAGAGAUGAGUGGGGAGAACGAGUCUUCAGGCUCCCCUUUUCCUGCCCCCCACCCCCAUGCCGCAUGCCCCCACUCAGCAGAGCUGGGCUGCAGCAUCUCUGGCAGGUUUUCUCCUCUAAUGCUGGUUCCUGAGUUUUUCUCUCAUGACAUCUGAUGGCCUCUACCUAGUCCUCUUCCGCCUCGACUGUAACCUUGGAUUUGUGCCGGCCCAUCACUUCAGUGCCUCUCACUUCCUGUCACCCCUUCUCUGAUUCCCCCUCCUUUAGUUUUCACACUGAUUACACUGCCACACAGCCAAGAAACAGUUGCCAUUGUUGGGGUCCAUGUCCCAAUCUGGAGCUGUUAGCUACCCCACAACUGGGAUUGCUCAAGGUAGGUUUCCUGACCCUCAAUUCCCAUUCCUGUACCCUAACUCUUUCCAGGAUCCACAAAGUCAGUCUUCUCCUAGUAAAUAAUAAAUAUUAGCUUCUUUCCUCUUCCUGGAUCUUGAGAUCAAAGUUAAAAUAGCCUUAAAUUACUCUUAGGUCUUUAAGAGGUCUCUGUGGACAGGGUGGGAGGAGGACACAUUGGUCCUCUGAGGCCCCAAGGCUUUCUCUGCUGGAGGGAGCCCUUCUGAACACAGCUCUGCACACUGCCCAGGAUCAGUCCAGGUGCCCUGGCUGUGCUGGAGCCUUGACCGACUGACCUCAGAUCACUGGCCCCAAGUGCACAACAUGGCAACAAGCAGCCUCUCCUGCCACCCCAACUGCACACAAGCCCAAGGUGGGGGGAUGUUGUCCCCCAGCAGGCAAUGGGAAGGUUGGGCAAGAGGAUGACCAAGAAGCAAGGCCGAGUCUGACAAGGAGCAGAUGGAUAUGUGCACUUGGUAGAAGAGACACUAACAGACUCCAGGAGAUGAAAAGAUACAGAGCAUGAAAAAAACAGCUUCAGAGAAAGAAAAAGCACAGACUGAAAAGCAAUAAAAGUGCAAUAAAUACUAAAACCAGAAAGUAGAGAGAGGAAGACUAACAUUACUAGAGUUAGGUCAGAGAAGAGUACAGGAGGGGCUAGGACGGUCAGUAUUCAAGGGGCUGUAGGCACAAUAUAAAUCUCUCAGAAGGGUCAUUGACUUUCCAAGCUGUUGGGCUUACUGGCUGCAGCAAGCAGAAUCUAUUUUAAAAACACCAGGCACUUUGCCUAGAUCUGCUUCCCUGCCCAGAAAAGGCAGGAGCCAAAGGCUGAGAAGCCAUUCCAGUAUUAGGACCCUGCUGGGGCCACAGGUCUAAGACCAUGAAGAUCCUUGCCUGGUCUUGGAAUGACCACUACCUACACAACCUGCCAGGCCACUAAUCUCACAGCAAAUUGAACACAGCCCUGAGGGCUGCUUGUGUUAUCCCCUUCCACUGGGAAAGACUCAAUGACUUCCUUCAUUCUGUCUUCUAGCUUGUCAGAAAGCAGAUGCUGCUCAAUUGUGACAGCUGUUCUAAGGCGAUGCUCAAAGGGAGAUCCCUGACCAGUGGGAAUAUCCUUAAGGAUGACUGGAGAGGCCUUGGGUGAUUACAAGCAAGACAAAGGAGAGAGCAUGAAAGGGAAUCAAUGAUAAAAAUGGCCUUAGGGAAACCAUAAGGGACUUGAAUUGGAAAACACCAAGGGCCUCACUCCUUUUCCUGGGCUGUGGGUCUUUGGAAAACUCUAACCUGGAGAAGUCCGGACUUUAUCCACCGGACACAGAGAAGUACAUAAUAAGGCUGGGAGCCAGGGGAAGCAGCCAAGGAAAGACAUCAAUGCAGAUUUUAUUUCCUCUUCCUACUGAGAGGGUUGGGGAUGAGAGGUCCUUCCUUCUCUGGCUUCUGAGCCCUUAAAUUGUAUAAAAUACUGUUCAACAAGGCUGAAUAUGAGUCCUCUAUUUUGCAUGAGAUUUAUAUUCUCAAAAAACAUAGUAUAAAAAUCAAACGAAAUUUUGCUUGUCAGAGUAGUUGGCUUUUCAAAAUAAAUUGGAGGUGAAUCCUAUGUUUAAAGAGAAGGAUAGCUUUUGAAUGUGACUAAUCAUCCUGGUUCAUGCUUGUAAAUUUGGA